rnacentral:rRNA from 1 species
UCUAGAGAUACUGCCCGGUUAACGGGGAGGAAGGUGGGGAUGACGUCAAGUCCUCAUGGCCCUUAUGCCCAGGGCUACACACGUGCUACAAUGGGCGGUACAAAGGGUAGCGAUGCCGCGAGGUGAAGCCAAUCCCAAAAAGCCGUCCACAGUUCGGAUUGGAGUCUGCAACUCGACUCCAUGAAGCCGGAAUCGCUAGUAAUCGUGGAUCAGCAUGCCACGGUGAAUACGUUCCCGGGCCUU